rnacentral:rRNA from 1 species
UACAGAGGUCUCAAGCGUUGUUCGGAUUCAUUGGGCGUAAAGGGUGUGUAGGUGGCGCGCUAAGUCGGGGUGUGAAAUUUCGGAGCUUAACUCCGAAACUGCAUUCGAUACUGCGGUGCUUGAGGACUGGAGAGGAGACUGGAAUUCAUGGUGUAGCAGUGAAAUGCGUAGAGAUCAUGAGGAAGACCAGUGGCGAAGGCGGGUCUCUGGACAGUUCCUGACACUGAGACACGAAGGCCAGGGGAGCAAACGGG